AUUGAACGCUGGCGGCAGGCCUAACACAUGCAAGUCGAACGAGUGGCGGACGGGUGAGUAAUGUCUGGGAACCUGCCCGAUGGAGGGGGAUAACUUCUGGAAACAGUAGCUAAUACCGCAUACAAUCGGAUGUGCCCAGAUGGGAUUAGCUAGGAGGUGGGGUAAUGGCUCACCGAGGCGGCGAUCCCGAGCUGGUCUGAGAGGAUGACCAGCCAAAUUGGAACUGAGACACGGGCCAGACUCCUACGGGAGGCAGCAGUGGGGAAUAUUGCACAAUGGGCGCAAGCCUGAUGCAGCCAUGCCGCUUGUAUGAAGAAGGCCUUCGGGUUGUAAAGUACUUUCAGCGAGGAGGCGUUACUCGCAGAAGAAGCACCGGCUAACUCCGUGCCAGCAGCCGCGGUAAUUC
rnacentral:rRNA from 1 species